AACGAACGCUGGCGGCAUGCCUAACACAUGCAAGUCGAACGAGACCUUCGGGUCUAGUGGCGCACGGGUGCGUAACGCGUGGGAACCUGCCCUUAGGUUCGGAAUAACUCCCCGAAAGGGGUGCUAAUACCGGAUAAUGUCUUCGGACCAAAGAUUUAUCGCCUUUGGAUGGGCCCGCGUUGGAUUAGCUAGUUGGUAGGGUAAAAGCCUACCAAGGCGACGAUCCAUAGCUGGUCUGAGAGGAUGAUCAGCCACACUGGGACUGAGACACGGCCCAGACUCCUACGGGAGGCGGCAGUGGGGAAUAUUGGACAAUGGGCGAAAGCCUGAUCCAGCAAUGCCGCGAGAGUGAUGAAGGCCUUAGGGUUGUAAAGCUCUUUUACCCGGGAUGAUAAUGACAGUACCGGGAGAAUAAGCUCCGGCUAACUCCGUG
rnacentral:rRNA from 1 species